AAUUUUCCCGUGGAAGCUUUUUCUCUGCAUGCUCUACGUCAGCUCACAGAUUUCUUAAGAACCAACCCAAAACUCAAAAACUCUCAGAGCCCCCAAAACACACAUCCGAACACACACAUCCACACACACACACACACAUAGGUCCACAUGGAAGGGGAAAGUCAACAAGUCAGGAACCAUGACAUGAGACGGUAUUUUGGGGCUCAUUAGAAAGGCAAAUGGCACCGACUGGGACUGACGGCGGGUGAAGGACACCGAGGAGCGCAGAGCUGCUGGAUUAUAUUUUUCACCCAUCACAACAUUUUGGUUCAAGAGAAACCGUGUGUGGAAUUUUUGGGCACUUUUUUGGUGUUUGUUGAAAGAGAAGAAGAAGAAGGAGCAGCAGUGGAGAGCACAUUUGUCGGAGACUGGAGCUUGGAAGAAACUUGACGCUGCCACUGACACUGAGAGUGUAAUGUGUGUGUGUGUGUGUGUGUGUGUUGGUGACACAUCAGUGAUGAGCAAUAUUUUUACCCUCUGACUCACCUGCUGCAUCAGGUGGUGGACUGUGGACUCGGAGGAUGAGGAUGUCUGAUGAGGUGUGUGGCUGGAAAUGAACUCUGCAGGAAGCAGCAGUUUGGAUAAGGGUUGCCAGAUUCCACCGUUUCCAGACCACAACUUAAUUAACUACUAAUCAUCCUAAUGGAGCCGAAUUAUUCCCUGGUAUUUUCCUCUUUAAUCCGGAAUAAAGCCAAUCAGGCAACACUGUUUUGUGCCCCAGUGAACUUGGAAGUCUGUUGCCUCACCAAAUGCGCCGAAGCUUCGUUUAAUUCUGCUGAACUUUACUCCGUGUUGUAAAACAUUUACUCAAAAUCAUUUGGGAAAAAUUUCAAACCUGAAAAAAGAGCUAAAAGACUCUUCUUGUGCGCCUCGAAAGGACAGUUUGGCAAAACUUUUCUAAUGACGGGCCGCGGCGCAGUGAUCCCAGCUCGCCAUAACCAGAUGAACAUCAGCCUGAAAUGACACUCUGCUAAAGGAGAAAUUGUGUGAAACUUCACCACACACAUGAAGUGGAUUCAUCUCCAGCUUACAGUGAAGCUCUACAGAAACUGAAAUGGAUCAGCUCGUAUUGUUUCCCUCCUCAAACGCCUGAAGCCCUGAGUCUUCCCAGGUUUUUUUUUUUUUUUUUUUGGACCGUGUGAAGCUAAAGGACAAUCUUGGAUCUCUCCUGAUGUUGGCUACAGAACACACACGCGCUUCUUUGGGCCACUGUGGCAGUGGAUUAUGGCCAUUCAGUCCCGGAGUCAAUUAAAGCCUGUUAAAGUCACCACAGCCUUUAUUUACACAUUAUGGGAACUCUGUGAAGUGGGAGGAGAAGAAACAAUCUAAUGAAUGCCUUUUCAAAAGGUUAUUUAAGGCUUGUGUGUGUGUGUGUGUGUGUGUGUGUGUGUGUGUGUGUGUGUGGAGGAUUAAAGAGUGUCCAAACUCAAACCCUGGAGCUUUAUGUUAAGAUCUUAAACAUUAUGUUUUAGCUUUAUGUUAAAGAUCCUACAUGAAACUGGGUGAAACCACCAAAUGUUAUAUCUGUAAUUUAACUAUCAAAUUGUAGAACUUUAUAAGACUCAAAAUGUAUUUUUUUAAAAAUUUAAAUUCCUAUACUCGCCCUCAUUAUCAAACUCCAGAAAAUGGUGAAAAGUGAUUAAGCUAAUGUUACAUAAUAUGAGAGAGGACAGGAAAUGUUUACUCAUCCAUAGUGUCUUGGAUUUUAGAAGAUUAAUACACCUUAUAUAAAAUGCUUUAAUCAUGUAUUAAUGUUUACAUUCAUAUUAAAAUGUGCUUCAAAUUCAA